rnacentral:rRNA from 1 species
UACGUAGGGGGCUAGCGUUGUCCGGAAUCAUUGGGCGUAAAGAGCGUGUAGGCGGUCCGGUAAGUCCGCUGUGAAAGUCGGGGGCUCAACCCUCGAAUGCCGGUGGAUACUGUCGGGCUAGAGUGCAGAAGGGGCAAUCGGAAUUCUUGGUGUAGCGGUGAAAUGCGUAGAUAUCAAGAGGAACACCUGAGGUGAAGACGGGUUGCUGGGCUGACACUGACGCUGAGGCGCGAAAGCCAGGGGAGCAAACGGG